CUAACACAUGCAAGUCGAGCGGCAGCGAGGUUAGUAGCAAUACUAAUUGUCGGCGAGCGGCGGACGGGUGAGGAACACGUAGGGAUCUGCCUUAGAGAGGGGGAUAACCAAGGGAAACUUUGGCUAAUACCGCAUAAACUCGGGAGAGAAAAGCUGCCUGCAAGGGUGGCGCUUUAAGAGGAACCUGCGUCCGAUUAGCUAGUUGGUAGGGUAAAGGCCUACCAAGGCGAUGAUCGGUAACUGGUCUGAGAGGACGACCAGUAACACUGGGACUGAGACACGGCCCAGACUCCUACGGGAGGCAGCAGUGGGGAAUCUUGGACAAUGGGGGCAACCCUGAUCCAGCGAUGCCGCGUGGGUGAAGAAGGCCUUCGGGUUGUAAAGCCCUUUAGGUUGGGAAGAAGUGCAUAAGUUUAAGAGAUGUAUGCAUUGACGGUACCGACAGAAUAAGCACCGGCAAACUCUGUGCCAGCAGCCGCGGUAA
rnacentral:rRNA from 1 species